AGAACCACCUGAAUCUGGGAGGUGGAGGUUGCAGUGGGCCAAGAUCUUGCCACUUCACUCCAGCCUGGGCAACAGAGCAAGAUUCCAUCUCAAAAAGCCAAAAACAUUUGGACUGGGUCAGUAUUCACCAUAUACUUCAUUAUGAGUAUUCAAAUACUGGUGAUAGUUGAGUCAUAUAACAUACUGUGAUUAUUUUUCCUUUCUUGUACAACUCUGUUUUCCCUGGAGUCUUUUUAAAAAAAAUUAUUUACUGCUGGGCGCUGUGGCUCAAGCCUGUAAUCCUAGCACUUUGGGAGGCUGAGGUGGGUGGAUCACGAGGUCAGGAGAUCGAGACCAUCCUGGCUAACACGGUGAAACCCCGUCUCUACUAAAAAAAUACAAAAAAUUAGCCGGGCCUGCUGGCAGGCGCCUGUAGUCCCAGGUACUCGGGAGGCUGAGGCAGGAGAAUGGGGUGAACCCGGAAGGCGGAGCUUGCAGUGAGCUGAGAUCGCGCCAUUGCACUCCAGCCUGAGGGACAGAGUGAGACUCCGUCUCAAAAAAAAAAAAAAUUAUUUACUAUGUUUUCUAUGGUACUUAUCACUAGUUUAUUCCUAACUUCACUCCCAAGUGUAUAAGGCUCCUUACAGUGUGGUCAAAUUCAGUUGGGUGUUCAGCCAACUUCCAUCUUCUUCAGGAAUUCUCUCCCAGAACCAUCUGACGUGCUCCAGGCUGCCUCAUUUGAUCUCUGGGCUGGCAGCACUGAUGUUGUCUUGGGAUCUGCCUUCCUCAAUAUUCUGGGCAUCAAGUGUCUCUCAUCCUUAAAACAACCCUUGCUCAACUCCAUGAGUCCUUCUAGUGACUGCCCUGUCCCUCUACUUGUGUUUACAGCCUACCUCUUGAAAGAAUUCUCUCUCUUGUCUGGGCCUCUUGUGACAUGGGAAGUGAAAGAGGAGAUCUGGCCAGGCGCAGUGGUGCAUGCCUGUAAUCCCAGCACUUUGGGAGGCUGAGGUGGGUGUAUCACCUAAGGUCAGGAGUUCAAGACCAGCCUGGCCAACAAGGUGAAAUCCUGUCUAUACUAAAAAUACAAAAAAUUAGCUUGGCGUAGUGGCUGGCACCUGUAAUCCCAGCUACUCAGGAGGCUGAGACAGGAGAAUUGCUUGAACCUGGGAGGUGGAGGUUACAGUGAGCUGAGAUCGCACCAUUGCGCUCCAGCCAGGGCAACAAGAGCAAAACUCCGUUCCAAAAAAACCCAAAAAACCAAAAACAAGAGACUGGGUGUGGUGGCUCACGCCUGUAAUCCCAGCACUGUGGGAGGCCAAGAAGGGUGGAUCACCUGAGGUCAGGAGUUCGAGACCAGCCUGGCCAACAUAGUGAAACCCUAUCUCUACUAAAAAUACAAAAAUUAGCUGGGUGUGGUGGCACACACUUGUAGUCCCAGUUACUCGGGAGGCUGAGACAGGAGAAUCGCUUGAACCCGGGAGGUGGAGGUUGCAGUGAGCCGAGACCAUGCCACUGCACUCCAGCAUAGGUGACAGAGUGAGACUCUGUCCCCCCCAACCCCCCAAAAAAGAGGAGAUUCUCAGUCCAUGCACAGAGUAGGGAUUGAAAUCUGCAUAGGAGUGAAAACCAGAAAAAAAAAAAGAAAGAAGGACUUUUCUUUUAAUUAAUCAUUCAUUGCAGGCCAGGAGCAGUGGCUCAUGCCUGUACUCCCAGCACUUUGGGAGGCCAAAGCAGGCGGAUCACCUGAGGUUGGGAGUUCAAGACCAGCCUGGCCAACAUGGUGAAACCCUGUCUCUACUAAAAAUAUAAAAAUUAGCCAGGCCUGCUUGUGCACUCCUGUAAUCCCAGCUACUCAGGAGGUUGAGGUAUGAGAAUUGCUUGAACCUGGGAGACAGAGGUUGCAGUGAGCCAAGAUCACACCACUGCACUCAAGCCUGGGUGACAGAGUGAGACUAUGUCUCAAAAAAAAAAAAAAAAAAAAAAAUCAUUCAUUGCUUUCUGGAGAAGAUGGAAUUUUCAAAAUUGUCUGAAGCAAAACUUCCUGCUUUUUCCUGAUUAUAUAUUACAUGCCCAUUGUUGAGAAUCUGGAAUAUUGGGCCAGGUGCAGUAGCUUACACCUAUAAUCCCAGCACUUUAGGAGGCCGAAGCAGGAGGAUCGCUUGAGCCCAGGAGUUUGAGACCAGCCUGGGCAACAUAGGGAGAUCCCAUCUCUGUUAAAAAAUAUAUAUUAAAAUUUUGAAAAAUUUGGAAAAUGAGGAAAAGAAUCAGGAGCAGAGAUUUAGCUAUUAACGUUUUUGCUUGUUCCUGCUUUUUAUUUCAUGCAUAUAUAAAUGUGUUUUUAAUUAAAGUUGCGCUUAUGUUACAACAAAUUCCAAGUGAGAAAAAAGUUGGAAUUGUGUUAUAAGAAAUUUCAGAUGAGGCAUGAGCCAGCAGGCCCGGCUUAACUAACACAGAUACUUUUUUUUUUUUUUAAUACUUUUAGGGUACAUGUGCACAACGUGCAGGUUAGUUACAUAUGUAUACAUGUGCCAUGUUGGUGUGCUGCACCCAUUAACUUGUCAUUUAACAUUAGGUAUAUCUCCUAAUGCUAUCCCUCCCCCCCUCCCCCCACCCCACAACAGGCCCCAGUGUGUGAUGUUCCCCUUCCUGUGUCCAUGUGUUCUCAUUGUUCAAUUCCCACCUAUGAGUGAGAACAUGCGUUGUUUGGUUUUUGGUCCUUGCGAUAGUUUGCUGAGAAUGAUGGUUUCCAGCUUCAU
rnacentral:lncRNA from 1 species